CGCGUAGGCGGUGUUUUAAGUGAGAUGUGCAAUCCCCGGGCUUAACCGUGGGAACUGCAUCUCAGACUGGAACGCUGGAGUACUGGAGAGGGUGGUAGAAUUCCACGUGUAGCGGUGAAAUGCGUAGAGAUGUGGAGGAAUACCAGUGGCGAAGGCGGCCACCUGGACAGUAACUGACGCUGAGGCGCGAAAGUGUGGGUAGCAAACAGGAUUAGAUACCCUGGUAGUCCACGCUGUAAACGAUGAACACUUGGUGUGGCGGAGUUGACCCCUGCCGUGCCGUAGCUAACGCGAUAAGUGUUCCGCCUGGGGAGUACGGUCGCAAGGCUGAA
rnacentral:rRNA from 1 species